rnacentral:precursor_RNA from 15 species
AGAAUCGAGGAGAGCGGUGCUCGUAUCAUUUUGUACAUUGAAUGGUAGCUAUCGGAUGUAUUUGAUAAUCCUAGCAACCGUCUUUGUGCAAAAUCAUGGAGCACACGAGCAGCAAAAUGAUAA